CCGCGGUAAUACGGAGGGUGCAAGCGUUAAUCGGAAUUACUGGGCGUAAAGCGCACGCAGGCGGUUUGUUAAGUCAGAUGUGAAAUCCCCGCGCUUAACGUGGGAACUGCAUUUGAAACUGGCAAGCUAGAGUCUUGUAGAGGGGGGUAGAAUUCCAGGUGUAGCGGUGAAAUGCGUAGAGAUCUGGAGGAAUACCGGUGGCGAAGGCGGCCCCCUGGACAAAGACUGACGCUCAGGUGCGAAAGCGUGGGGAGCAAACAGGAUUAGAUACCCUGGUAGUCCACGCUGUAAACGAUGUCGACUUGGAGGUUGUGCCCUUGAGGCGUGGCUUCCGGAGCUAACGCGUUAAGUCGACCGCCUGGGGAGUACGGCCGCAAGGUUAAAACUCAAAUGAAUUGACG
rnacentral:rRNA from 1 species